rnacentral:rRNA from 1 species
ACAUACGACCAUAGGACAUUUUCCAAAACUCGAUCCCGUUCGCUCUCGAGAAGUUAAACGGUGUACCGGCGGGCUAGUAGGCAGGUGGGUGACCACUGGCGAAUCCCCGCUGUUGUAUGUU